AUCGUUUCUCAGCCUUUUGGCUUGGAAUAUGUGUAGUUUUUUUCUUAUCAGUUUAAUCUUUGUUAUCUCCUGAAUGUGGGAGUGUUUGUAUUAAAUUGAUUUUUGGAGCAGGGAGAUGGAUUAGGGGCUUGCUCUGUCCUCUCCAUGUAUCAACCUGGUACUGUUGGGCGGCACGGUGGGUCAGUGGUUCGCACUAC